CAAAAUGGGUGGCAAAUUCCAUCUAAGGCUAAAUAUUGGCGAGAGACCGAUAGCGAACAAGUACCGUGAGGGAAAGAUGAAAAGAACUUUGAAAAGAGAGUUAAACAGUACGUGAAAUUGUUGAUAGGGAAACGAUUGAAGUCAGUCAUGCCGGUGAGAAAUCAGCUCACAGGCUACUGUGGGUGCACUUUUUCGCAAGGCAGGUUAACAUCGGUUUCUGUUGCGUCAUAAUAAUUGUGGGAAGGUGGCUCCUUCGGGAGUGUUAUAGCCUACUUUAGAUGUCGCGACGGGGACUGAGGAUUGCAGCGGAUGCCUUUGGCUACGGGUCUUGUCUCUGUCGAUCUUCAAUUAGCUUUCAGCUUGCUGAGAUCUGGUUGAUAGGUUUACAAUAGGUUUGAUUCCGUUAAAUUCGCUAAGGAUGUUGACGUAAUGGCUUUAAACGACCCGUCUUGAAACACGGACCAAGGAG
rnacentral:rRNA from 1 species